UCAGAGUGUAAAGUACAGUUGGAGAAGGAUCAUGUGAUGGUUCCAUAAAUAUCAUUCCACCAAUGAAAAUGACUUCCUUUCAUGUAUAGUGUCCACGAAAAGUACCAAAAAGAAGUCCUGAUUCCCAAAUGCAUCUAGAAAGAUCAAUCCAAAGAUGUUCCGAGAACAAAUUGCAACCAGCUACACUAACAAGGUAUGAAAGGAUUUGUCAAUGGUCUAAAUCUCACAUGAUAAUGGCAAGAACAGCUUAUCAUUUAUGAGAAUCAACAGAUGUUGGCCCACGGAAGAAUGCCGUAAGAAAAGUAUCUCAGAAUAAAAAAUGGUUGGUUUCAAGCACUGGUGAAUUUAGCCAACACGGAUAAGAUCUAUAAGGGUGUUA